GACGGGGGGGGCAAGUGUUCUUCGGAAUGACUGGGCGUAAAGGGGCACGUAGGCGGUGAAUCGGGUUGAAAGUGAAAGUCGCCAAAAAGUGGCGGAAUGCUCUCGAAACCAAUUCACUUGAGUGAGACAGAGGAGAGUGGAAUUUCGUGUGUAGGGGUGGAAAUCGUAGAUCUACGAAGGAACGCCAAAAAGCGAAGGCAGCUCUCUGGGUCCCUACCGACGCUGGGGUGCGAAAGCAUGGGG
rnacentral:rRNA from 1 species